UACAGGGGGUGCAAACGUUGCUCGGAAUUAUUAGGCGUAAAGCGCGCGUAGGCGGCUACUUAAGUCGGAUGUGAAAGCCCUUGGCUCAACUGAGGAAGUGCACCCGAAACUGAGUGGCUUGAGUACUAAAGAGGGUCGCGGAAUUCCCGGUGUAGAGGUGAAAUUCGUAGAUAUCGGGAGGAACACCGGUGGCGAAGGCGGCGACCUGGGUAGAUACUGACGCUGAGGCGCGAAAGCGUGGGGAGCAAACAGG
rnacentral:rRNA from 1 species